CCUACGGGGGGCAGCAGUAGGGAAUCUUUCACAAUGGGCGAAAGCCUGAUGGAGCAACGCCGCGUGCAGGAUGAAGGCCUUCGGGUUGUAAACUGCUUUUAUAAGCGAGAAAUAUGAUGGUAACUUAUGAAUAAGGAUCGGCUAACUACGUGCCAGCAGCCGCGGUCAUACGUAGGAUCCGAGCAUUAUCCGGAGUGACUGGGUGUAAAGAGUUGCGUAGGUGGCAUAAUAAGUAGCUAGUGAAAUCUGGUGGCUCAACCAUUCAGACUAUUAGCUAAACUGUUAAGCUCGAGACCGUUAGGGGUAACUGGAAUGUGUAGUGUAGGAGUGAAAUCCGUAGAUAUUAGAAGGAACACCAAUAGCGUAGGCAGGUUGCUGGGACGGUUCUGACACUAAGGCACGAAAGCGUAGGGAGCAAACGGGAUUAGAUACCCUAGUAGUC
rnacentral:rRNA from 1 species